UCUGGCCUGUAUUCAACUGCAUUGUUGUGAGCAGUUGGGCGCUGCAUCUCCAGAUUGGGACAGUCCUAGCUUGCAAGCAACAAUGUUGUGCAUUUGCAGGUCGAGUGCGCCGAGACUUUCGAGAAGGCGAUAUGAGCUCAAUUUUGAGGCCAGCUUGCUGGUACCCGGAUUGGAGGAAUGUUGUUCGUUUUGGAUGUGAAUGGGGAAAGGUUUUCGGGCUCGUAUGGGUUCGAAUUGGUGUGGGGUGGCAGUUGCAUGCAACAUGUGCCUUCUGCCAAUUCGGUCCUGUGCGAGCUCACAAUCCCACUCUCGGCGUAAAAGUUGGUCAUCUAUCCGACCCGUCUUGAAACACGGACCAAGGAGUUUAUCGUGUGCGCAAGUCAUUGGGUGUUGAAAACUCAAAGGCGCAAUGAAAGUAAAGAAUCCGCAAGGAUACGACGUGUGAUCUGAGCAAUCACGAUUGCCUGGAGCAACAUGGCCCCAUUCUGGUCGCUUGCGACGGGGUGGAGGAAGAGCGUACGCGGUGAGACCCGAAAGAUGGUGAACUAUUCCUGAGCAGGAUGAAGCCAGAGGA
rnacentral:rRNA from 1 species